rnacentral:rRNA from 1 species
UACAGGGGGGCAAGCGUUGUUCGGAAUUACUGGGCGUAAAGGGUUCGUAGGUGGCCAACUAAGUCAGACGUGAAAUCCCUCAGCUUAACUGGGGAACUGCGUCUGAUACUGGAUGGCUUGAGUGUAGGAGAGGAAUGCGGAAUUCCAGGUGUAGCGGUGAAAUGCGUAGAUAUCUGGAGGAACACCGGUGGCGAAGGCGGCAUUCUGGACUACAACUGACACUGAGGAACGAAAGCCAGGGGAGCAAACGGG